AUGUCGUAAUUGUAAUGAAAACUAAUGUUUCAGUGCAGUGGUCUUUCUACUUAGGUUCCCCAAAUGUCUGUAAGUUGGCAGAAGUGCAAAAUGGAGAAAGCAUAAAAAUGAUUGUUGAAAAAAUGUUAUAUGAAUUUACUUUUCUACUGAGUUAACAGUGAUCCUGACCAUGUGUUUUGUUUUUAUUUAUUUAUUUAUAUUUUGGCUGAGCCUCGUGGCUUGUGGGAUCUUAGUUCCCCAACCAGGGAUCGAACCUGGGCUCUCAGCAGUGAGUGCAUGGAUUCCUAACCACUGGACCACCAGGGAAUUCCCUGACCAUGUGGUUUGAAGCUUCCCCUCGUUCUUACUGCUUUUUUUUUUUUUUUUCCGGUACCAAUAAGUCUUUAUUCAUUGUAUUUUCCCAAGGAAAAGAAGGGGAAGGGAAAAGGGUCAGCAUGUGUGUUACAAAAUGAUAGCAAAUGGGAAAGGAAGUACCUGGCACAGCAAAAUCAACCAACAAAUAAACACUGCCCAGAUGGGGUCGCCAAAGCCCAAGGGGGCUCAGUCUCCUGCAGUUCAGUAAUGAGGGGAAGGGAUGAAGAACAGAACUUUGGGUCAUAUUCAUGAUGAAAAGUAAAUAGAAAAAGGAACAUGUAACUGAAGAACAGAACCUAAGCAUGUUCACCUGAAGUAUCUCGACAGCUGUGGUGCCAGUUUAUGUUCUGGCCUCUCCUGAUCAGGACAGCUGCCCUGUGUGUCUCCUUCACUCUCUGUAUGUGUGCAGGGAAAUGGCGUUGGAUUAUAACAAGGAUCGUAAAGGCCUUCAAACCGCUAUAGAGCUCUCAUCCGGUUUUGCAAGUUGGAUUAGUUGACACAAGGCAGAAGGCUAGAAUGCGUUUGGGUUCAUUGGUUCAAUGGAGUUUCUUACUGAAAUAUUUUGUACCACGUUAUCUUGUCACUACUUUGUAACUGACAUAUGCCCAAUGCCUUAUAUACUUUAGAAGCAAUUAUGGGGGUAGGGGAAUAGACAGGUAGUACUCAUUUUGUAACUCAGUAUAUAUAAUAAUCAUGUAUGUAUGUGUGUGUGUGUGGUAUAUAAAUAAACCCAAAUGUGUAUUCCUCACCACUAAAUUACUAUUUUAGGGAGGUGCAGUUGAGCCAGAAUAGCAGUGAAUUAUACAUUGAUUUAGCCAGAGGCCAGCCAUCAAAGGCUCUGUUACUGCUGAACAGGAGAUCUUGGGCAGAGAUUAGAAGCUCUUUGUUUUAUUAAAGGUAAUAUCUCUCUCCAAGUUACAAAUUGGGUAUGUUGCAUAUACAUUUAUGUGUGUGUGUGUGUGUGUGUGUGUGUGUGUGUAUUUUUUAUCCUGACACUUGGGAGAUGUUUGUAAAAUACUUUAAAUCCUUUCCAGUGCCAUAUAAAUGUGAGGAGAUGUCCAAAAAGAUGACCUGGUGCUUGAAGGGAAAACGUCCGUCUUACAGUUCUAUAUAUUCUAAUAUCUGAUUUUGAGGAAAGAUAGCAUUUGUUAGCCAAAUAACUAAACUGAAAAGGGCCAGGGAAUUAAAAGUACAAAUUACUAUGUUUGAAAUAAGUAAGCUACAAGGAUAUAUGGUACAGCACAGGGAAUAUACCCAACAUUUUAUAAUAACUAUAAAUGGAAUAUAACCUUUAAAAAUUGUUUGAGUCACUGUGUUGUACACCUGAAACUUAACCUGAAAUUGUAAAUCAACUAUACCUCAAUUUAAAAAAAAAAAAGACAUGCCAAGCUGUGUUAUGAAAGGGAUUAAAAAAUCAAAUCAGA